CCUUCGGGAGGUGACGGAGCGGCGAACGGGUGAGUAACACGUGGGCAACCUGCCCCUAGCUCUGGGAUAACUCCGGGAAACCGGGGCUAAUACCGGAUACGACCUCGGAUGGCAUCAUCCGGGGUGGAAAGUUUUUCGGCUAGGGAUGGGCCCGCGGCCUAUCAGCUUGUUGGUGGGGUUACGGCCCACCAAGGCGACGACGGGUAGCCGGCCUGAGAGGGCGACCGGCCACACUGGGACUGAGACACGGCCCAG
rnacentral:rRNA from 1 species